GCCGGGCAUGGUGGCACAUGCCUGUAAUCCCAGCUACUUGGGAGGCUGAGGCAGGAGAAUCGCUCGAACCUGGGAGGCGGAGCUUGCAGUGAGCUGAGAUCGUGCCACUGCACUCAAGCCUGGGUGACAGAGCGAGACUCUGUCUCAA
ensembl:misc_RNA Metazoa_SRP Metazoan signal recognition particle RNA